CUACGGGAGGCUGCAGUGAGGAAUUUUGCGCAAUGGGGGAAACCCUGACGCAGCAACGCCGCGUGAGUGAUGAAGAUCUUCGGAUCGUAAAGCUCUGUCAAGUGGGAAAAAAUCCUUUUGGUUAAUACCCGAAAGGACUGAUGGUACCACUGGAGGAAGCACCGGCUAACUCCGUGCCAGCAGCCGCGGUAAUACGGAGGGUGCAAGCGUGUUCGGAUUUACUGGGCGUAAAGAGCGUGUAGGCGGUUUAGCAAGUCAGAUGUGAAAGCCCUGGGCUCAACCCGGGAAGUGCAUUUGAAACUGCUUCACUAGAGUAUGGGAGAGGAGAUUGGAAUUCCUGGUGUAGAGGUGAAAUUCGUAGAUAUCAGGAGGAACACCCGUGGCGAAGGCGAUUCUCUGGACCAAUACUGACGCUGAGACGCGAAAGCGUGGGGAGCAAACAGGAUUAGAUACCCUCGUAGUC
rnacentral:rRNA from 1 species